UGGGGAAUUUUGGACAAUGGGGGAAACCCUGAUCCAGCCAUCCCGCGUGUGCGAUGAAGGCCUUCGGGUUGUAAAGCACUUUUGGCAGGAAAGAAACGUCGCGGGUUAAUACCCCGCGGAACUGACGGUACCUGCAGAAUAAGCACCGGCUAACUACGUGCCAGCAGCCGCGGUAAUACGUAGGGUGCAAGCGUUAAUCGGAAUUACUGGGCGUAAAGCGUGCGCAGGCGGUUCGGAAAGAAAGAUGUGAAAUCCCAGAGCUUAACUUUGGAACUGCAUUUUUAACUACCGGGCUAGAGUGUGUCAGAGGGAGGUGGAAUUCCGCGUGUAGCAGUGAAAUGCGUAGAUAUGCGGAGGAACACCGAUGGCGAAGGCAGCCUCCUGGGAUAACACUGACGCUCAUGCACGAAAGCGUGGGGAGCAAACAGGAUUAGAUACCCUGGUAGUCCACGCCCUAAACGAUGUCAACUAGCUGUUGGGGUCUUCGGACCUUGGUAGCGCAGCUAACGCGUGAAGUUGACCGCCUGGGGAGUACGGUCGCAAGAUUAAAACUUAAAGGAAUUGACGGGGUCAUAGCUGUUU
rnacentral:rRNA from 1 species